UGCAUAAAUUAUUCUUGGAUGUUCUAAUAUUUAUUUGUGUAGCUGAAGUUAGAGUUUUAUUGGUCCAAAUAGCAAUUUAAAGCCAAAAAUCAGAUUUUAUUUGAUAAACAAUGUCUAGAUGGGCCAAAUAGGCAAUUUUUACUCCCGCACCCCCAGAUUUCCCUACAUGCACCUCUCUUUUAAACCAGGCCAACAACCAAGCCAAAACACUAAGCCUUUUAUAUUCGUAACCCCUAAUUUCCUAUACACACCCCUCCUACCAUAGACUUCACCAGAUCACGCCACAUGUCCAAAUCCUCUGCGCACCAGAUAGACCAACCAGCACAUGCCACCUCAGCCCACUUGCCACGUCAUCACCACCUUCUCCAGAAACCCUAAUUUCGUAAACCCUAGUCGCCACCUUCGACCUAGCCGUCGGCCACCGUAAACGACGCACCAUCACCAGCGCCAUCCAUCAUAAAACCAUCACCGGACCACAAAGUCGCCGUCGACGAGCAACCCAGAAUCGCGGUUCAGCCUUCGUCGCGAGUCUUCUUCCUCGCAGACACCAUCCACCAUUUUCUUCUUCGCAAAGCUCUGUCAUCGCAGAACCAUCCACCGUCCACACCGUCAAGACCAUCACCGUGAGAAACCCAAAUCACAACCUGCAGAAAACCCAGAAACAUAGAAUCCGCACUAUCCCCACACGCAGAAACCCAGAUCCAAGAUCGCACCACCCUCCAUGGCCGCCACCUUCUUCCUCGACGUCGUCACCAUGCUGCAGUUCAGUAAGCCUCGCAAAAUCGAAUCAUCUCCCUCCGCCUCCACCUUCUUCGAAUCUGGAUCAUCUUCAUCACCAUAACCACCGAGAGCAAGCCGCCGGCAGCCACCAUCGAAUCGCACAUCAACGCCAUCUUCAACGCAAACCACCACCUGCACACAAAAAAACCAGCGCCAUCGAUCUUGAACCUGCAAAUCCAGAAACAGUGAGAAUUCCUAAUCACGUUUUCUAUGCAGCCAUGCCAACGAAACCAAGACUCCACCAGUAGCACCUCCAUGUUGUUCGAGUGCGGCGCUAAAGACAUCCUUUCCCCCAAUCUGAAACCUAAUUUAGGUGGGGAAGAGGCUGACACGUGUCAAGAUCAUAUUGGAGCCUCAUUUUUUUGAGUCAAAGCUGGUCAACAGGGGGCAAUGUGCAAUUUCAGAAAUUAAAAAGGGGUUUAAGUGCUGAUAGAGGAAAUAUCAGGGUAUUUGUGCAAUUAUGGAAAGUCAGAAAAGCUAAAAGAUAAAUUCAGUUGUUGAGUUAAUUUAAUUUGGGAAUAUCAACAGAAAAUAUCUUCCAAAUAAUAUUAUAAUUAUCUAAAGAUUCUAUCAACUGAAUAUUUAGAGUUCAAGCCCAACCAAGCCUAUAUAAAGAGACCCAGGGGCGACAGAAAGGACACGAUUCAUUCAUCCAAUCAUCCACCACUGCUUUCACUUUCAUUAUGUGUUUCUAAGCUCCUAGGGCUAUUCUGCUGUAAUUUCAUUAUGGAUUCUAAGGUUAAGUGAAUUAAUGCAAUUGUUUAUUUUGAUUAUUGAUUUAAGUUUAUCUC
rnacentral:lncRNA from 1 species